GGAAUCUUUCACAAUGGGCGAAAGCCUGAUGGAGCAACGCCGCGUGCAGGAUGACGGCCUUCGGGUUGUAAACUGCUUUUAUAAGCGAGAAAUAUGAUGGUAACUUAUGAAUAAGGACCGGCUAACUACGUGCCAGCAGCCGCGGUCAUACGUAGGGUCCAAGCAUUAUCCGGAUUGACUGGGUGUAAAGAGUUGCGUAGGUGGCAUAGUAAGUAGAUAGUGAAAUCUGGUGGCUCAACCAUUCAGACUAUUAUCUAAACUGCUAAGCUCGAGAAUGUUAGGGGUAGCUGGAAUUUCUAGUGUAGGAGUGAAAUCCGUAGAUAUUAGAAAGAACACCGAUAGCGUAGGCAGGCUACUGGGACAUUUCUGACACUAAGGCACGAAAGCGUAGGGAGCAAACG
rnacentral:rRNA from 1 species